rnacentral:rRNA from 1 species
CCUCAUGCUCCUGGAGCGGCCGAUAUCUGAUUAGCUAGUUGGUAGGGUAAAAGCCUACCAAGGCAUCGAUCAGUAGCUGGUCUGAGAGGACGACCAGCCACACUGGAACUGAGACACGGUCCAGACUCCUACGGGAGGCAGCAGUGGGGAAUUUUGGACAAUGGGCGCAAGCCUGAUCCAGCAAUGCCGCGUGAGUGAAGAAGGCCUUCGGGUUGUAAAGCUCUUUUGUCAGGGAAGAAACGGUGUUUUCUAAUACAGAACGCUAAUGACGGUACCUGAAGAAUAAGCACCGGCUAACUACGUGCCAGCAGCCGCGGUAAUACGUAGGGUGCAAGCGUUAAUCGGAAUUACUGGGCGUAAAGCGUGCGCAGGCGGUUUUGUAAGACUGUCGUGAAAUCCCCGGGCUCAACCUGGGAAUGGCGAUGGUGACUGCAAGGCUAGAGUUUGGCAGAGGGGGGUAGAAUUCCACGUGUAGCAGUGAAAUGCGUAGAUAUGUGGAGGAACACCGAUGGCGAAGGC